AAAAAACUACCUUCAAAGAAUUUAUAGCUGGUACUGUAUGUUUAAACACACAUUGACAGUUUGUGUAUAUUCAAUUUACUUGACAUGAUUUCUAUUCUUUAAAUUGUUAUUUAUAAUCACACGAGGAAUGUAAUCUCCCACCUCCAGCCACUACUGCCUCCAGGUUAUGUAAGUAUGGUAGCUUGCAAUACUGAUUACUAAUUGACCCUUUGUCCCUAAACCCUAGCCACUGAAUAACUAUCUUGCCUUUUGAUAGACUGGGAGGACCUUGUACCAUAUUACUUUAACUGAUCCUUUCAAAUCUACAAGCAUGUGGCUAGUGGGAAGAUAGCCCAGACGGAAUCACUCCAUGUUUCACCAUACAUAGUGUAGUGAAACAAACGUGAAGCUGAUCUGAAAUCUACCUGGAUUUCCAGGCUAGGGGUUAGGGGCUUGGGAGGGUAGAUUUUGGUUUAAAGUUUGGUCACUUUUAGGUUGACUUUAAGUUAUUGAAGUGGAAGAAGACUUAAACACAUGACAAAUGUGAAAAAGAACGCUCAAUGUUGUUUUACACGUUUAUUAUUUUACAUGUUUAUUUUCAGGCAACCCAAGCUCCAACCACAAUAUGCCUGAAGCACCAGGAAACCUGUGCCACCGCUACCAAGAAGCAAAAGGCUAAAAUGCAGCAAAAGCCAUCAACUAAUGACGGUGAGGACAACCAUUCACACCAUAAGCCAACUCCCUUAUUCUUGAUCAUUGCAUUUGAGAAAGGUUUUCUAGUUGUAAAAACAAUUGGCAUGAUGUUGUCCAAUCUUUUGUUGCGGAUAAUCAUCUUGGUCUCUCACAUGGCUUAAUCCUGGAGCAUGAGGGCUCGAGGUAUCCUUCUGUUCUGCCUUCUUAAUUGAGGUAUCCCCCUCACCAAAUCACUGCAAAGGAUCAGACCCUUUUCCUGUAUGAAGUAUGAAACUCCCCAUUUAGAAUUUUGGUUUACAGUUUGGUUUAGGUUGCCUUACAAAUGUGUGUAGAGAAAUGCUGGAUGUUUUACACUUUAAUGUGUUGGAUUUUAAGGUCUAUCCAAGCCCCCACUAAAAUCUGCUCCGGCUCACCAGAAAACCUGUGCCAGUGCCACUAAGAAGAAAAAGGUGAAAACUUCCUGCAAGCCACCAGGUAUUGGUGAGAAUCUUGAGCCUUCAUUCUCCAGGGAUCGGUCAUGUGGGAGAGAUGAGAGAUGCCCCUCACCAAAGCGCUGCAAAGGCUCAGACCCUUUUCCUAUGCCGGAAAAUUUUGAAAAAAGGAGUCCUAUAUCUCGUUUGUGACAUCUGUGACGGGAAGAUUAUUAAAGAUGGAAGAGCAGCUAAUGAAGAAUGAUUUAAAAAAUAUAUGAUCUCUCAAAGCUGGGGGGGGGAGACAUCCCAGACUGGGUGAAGAGAGCAAUGCACCAGUAAACUAUUACCAUAUGUUUCACUUUUAAGUGAGGUCAUGGUCUGUUGCUUGUAAAGUACAUAUUUUGUGUUCUAUAUAGAACCCUGACAAACGGCCUCAUGUCAACGUUCAAUAUGAAUGGAAAUAAAGGGAGGGCCUUCGACGACUCCAACUUUUACAUCGUCAUUAUAGGUACAGUGGAGUCCACGUCAUGACAUUUUGGAUAACUUCUCUAGCUUAUGUUUGUUUUCCCCCUUUACACCACAUGUGAGUCUUGGCUAAUCAAAGGCUAGUGGCAGAAAUACUACAGGUGACUUCAGCCUGCCUGAAAUAUGUACCUUACCAUAAGGGGGGUAAGUGGUAGUGCUAAUGAGUAAGGGGUUGAAAGAGUUCUUAAGUUAAAAGCAUCAAAGUUCAGACUAUGUCUGUUUUUGGUU